ACGAACGCUGGCGGCACGCUUAACACAUGCAAGUCGAACGAGAGAAGAGGAGCUUGCUUUUCUGAUCUAGUGGCGGACGGGUGAGUAACACGUGAGCAAUCUGCCUUUCAGAGGGGGAUACCGAUUGGAAACGAUCGUUAAUACCGCAUAACAUAAUUGAACCGCAUGAUUUGAUUAUCAAAGAUUUAUCGCUGAAAGAUGAGCUCGCGUCUGAUUAGCUAGUUGGUAAGGUAACGGCUUACCAAGGCGACGAUCAGUAGCCGGACUGAGAGGUUGAUCGGCCACAUUGGGACUGAGACACGGCCCAGACUCCUACGGGAGGCAGCAGUGGGGAAUAUUGCACAAUGGAGGAAACUCUGAUGCAGCGAUGCCGCGUGAGGGAAGAAGGUUUUAGGAUUGUAAACCUCUGUCUUCAGGGACGAAAAAAGACGGUACCUGAGGAGGAAGCUCCGGCUAACUACGUGCCAGCAGCCGCGGUAAUACGUAGGGAGCGAGCGUUGUCCGGAAUUACUGGGUGUAAAGGGAGCGUAGGCGGGAUCGCAAGUCAGAUGUGAAAACUAUGGGCUUAACCCAUAAACUGCAUUUGAAACUGUGGUUCUUGAGUGAAGUAGAGGUAAGCGGAAUUCCUAGUGUAGCGGUGAAAUGCGUAGAUAUUAGGAGGAACAUCAGUGGCGAAGGCGGCUUACUGGGCUUUAACUGACGCUGAGGCUCGAAAGCGUGGGGAGCAAACAGGAUUAGAUACCCUGGUAGUCCACGCCGUAAACGAUGAUUACUAGGUGUGGGGGGACUGACCCCUUCCGUGCCGCAGCAAACGCAAUAAGUAAUCCACCUGGGGAGUACGACCGCAAGGUUGAAACUCAAAGGAAUUGACGGGGGUCCGCACAAGCAGUGGAGUAUGUGGAUUAAUUCGAAGCAACGCGAAGAACCUUACCAGGUCUUGACAUCGUAUGCAUAGCUCAGAGAUGAGUGAAAUCUCUUCGGAGACAUAUAGACAGGUGGUGCAUGGUUGUCGUCAGCUCGUGUCGUGAGAUGUUGGGUUAAGUCCCGCAACGAGCGCAACCCUUACUGUUAGUUGCUACGCAAGAGCACUCUAGCAGGACUGCCGUUGACAAAACGGAGGAAGGUGGGGAUGACGUCAAAUCAUCAUGCCCCUUAUGACCUGGGCCUCACACGUACUACAAUGGCUGUCAACAGAGGGAAGCAAAGCCGCGAGGUGGAGCAAACCCCUAAAAGCAGUCUUAGUUCGGAUUGUAGGCUGCAACCCGCCUACAUGAAGUCGGAAUUGCUAGUAAUCGCAGAUCAGCAUGCUGCGGUGAAUACGUUCCCGGGCCUUGUACACACCGCCCGUCACGCCAUGGGAGUCGGUAACACCCGAAGCCUGUAGUCUAACCGCAAGGAGGACGCAGUCGAAGGUGGGAUUGAUGACUGGGGUG
rnacentral:rRNA from 1 species